rnacentral:rRNA from 1 species
GACGAACGCUGGCGGCGUGCUUAACACAUGCAAGUCGAACGGAAAGGCCCUGCUUUUGUUGGGUGCUCGAGUGGCGAACGGGUGAGUAACACGUGAGUAACCUGCCCUUGACUUUGGGAUAACUUCAGGAAACUGGGGCUAAUACCGGAUAGGAGCUCCUGCUGCAUGGUGGGGGUUGGAAAGUUUCGGCGGUUGGGGCUGGACUCGCGGCUUAUCAGCUUGUUGGUGGGGUAGUGGCUUACCAAGGCUUUGACGGGUAGCCGGCCUGAGAGGGUGACCGGGCACAUUGGGACUGAGAUACGGCCCAGACGGCAACGGGAGGCAGCAGUGGGGAAUAUUGCACAAUGGGCGGAAGCCUGAUGCAGCAACGCCGCGUGCGGGAUGACGGCCUUAGGGUUGUAAACCGCCGUCGCCUGUGACGAAGCGUGAGUGACGGUAAUGGGUAAAGAAGCACCGGCUAACUACGUG